UUUUAUCGUUGGCCUCAGAUCAGGGAGGAUCACCCGCC
rnacentral:rRNA from 1 species